GGGAAUAGUACAUGAGGAAAAGCCGGUCAAGAAGAUGAAUCCGCCAUUGUUGAGAAUUUUCCAGAAAAUCGAAGAGCACUUGUGCAGCUGGAUUGCACAUUAACAGAAGAUCUUUCGAUGAAAACCUGCAUGAACACUACACUAAGAAGCAAACGGGCGAAGUUACUGUAUGUAUUGUGUUUGCAUUGGAGCGAAAACAGGUGAUUUAGCUGAGGCUUUUGUUUCGACAUUCCGCGCACCUGCUUGGCGGCAAAGCUCAACAUGCGGUGUUAUCUAUACAUGUGAUCAACCACCGAUCUAAGCGCUCAAGAUUACUAACAUUGAAAGCAUUUUGUGAUAUUUCUACGUGUUAUAUUCCGACAUAAUCAAUCAUGUUCAUCGAAACUCUUGAAUUCACAAUUCCUGUGGAAUUGUGUAAUGUUUUUUCAACUCUUCAGAAGGGACAGAGGUCAAACGUAGAGUUUCCGGCAUCCGUGAACUCAUACGGCACAACGCAAGAUGCCAGUGUGCAGGUUGUGUUGCGCUCAAACAAACUAACGUUCAAAGUGGACGGUGUGUCGUCAAAUGCUAGCAUGAUAUCAAAGAGUGAAUGUAAGACAUUAAAACUCUCUGUGUUUGAUGUGGACCGCACAUUAAUGCCUCAAGAAAAUGACAAUUACGAUUCAAAUAAUAUGUCCGCAAUGCAGCAUUCUACACCUGUGUCAUUUCCAUCCAAGAGACAUCAAGAAAUAUCAGUGUCACAACCACCUGCUAAAAAUCGUAGGACUUCUUUUUCUGAGUCUCCAAGACCCAGAUCUCCACUUCAUCGUCGCUCACAACCUCAAAUCAGUCCACGUCCAUCUCAAAACACACAAUCAAAAUCCAAAAAUGACUCUCCAGUGAAUGUGAAACAAGAACCAGAAGAUCCAGAUUUAAUAGAAAUAGAACUAGACCAUGAUCCCGAUGAUGUUGUGCCAAAGAAAGAGACUCCAUACAUGCAAAUAGAUUAUUCAUCAGAUGUACCUCAUACGCAAACGUCCCAAGCAGCUCUAGAUCGACUCUCUCAUCCACAAUCAUCCCAUUCUCAAUCACCCGGUUCUUCAUCAUCGUCCUUCCAUCAAAACGUUCCACAUGUGCCAGAUUACGCCGAACCCAGUACUAGUCAAGUUCAUCAUGGUGACCAAAGUGCAGAUGACUUUUUAGUGUUUCAAGAACAAGACGAAGAUUGUGAUGACAACGAUGCUGAUUAUGGAAAUGAUGAUUUUGGAUGUUCAGUUGAUAAUGAGCAGCAGACGGCAGGUCAGUCUGUGAGUUCUGGUCAGUGGGAUUAUUGUGCUGGUUCGUAUGGACAACCAUUGUACCAGUCUCAGUCUCAAGAAGGGGGACAGGGGAGUUGGAACACUCAUAGGACUUCAAGUCACACCAAAAGGAAAGGCCCCUGGCCGUGUACUGUUUGUGGCAAAGUGUUCUUGGACUCUACGUCCCGACAGAACCAUAAAGAGGCCGAACAUGAUAAGCGUAAAUAUGCAUGUGCAUGUGGGAAGGAGUACAAGUACAGGACAGGUCUACGCUUGCACAAAAAAGUCUGCUCAAUGACGAAUUAGGAAGUUGAUGAGGAUUCAUUCUGUUUGGAUAGAGUUGUAAUCAAUCGUACAGUUGUAAUUUUGGUGAUUCAGUUAUGUGGUGAGGGCACAGAAAGGUGACCACAGAUGUACUGAGGAUGGGACAUUAGUGUUGUCACAAUUGACCUUUCAGUUGUUUGAUAAGUGCAUGAAAGGAUGCCUUUCCCCCAAGCUUGUCCAAUACAGAAUUGGGAACGUCAUGAAUUAUUAAAAUAUUGAAAGAUUCUUGAUUAUCGGACAUGACUCACAAUGGCACUAGUUUGUGGUGGCUCUGCAGUAUAUGAUUGCUUGGGUAACUGACUUAUUGUAUGGGUGUGCCCUGUGAAUAGGAACACGAAUUGCCAAUUAUCAGAAGGCAUAUUCUGAAAACAUGUGAAACGCAAGAAGAUAUUACUUAGCGUCCAGCGGUGAAUUAUGACCACAUAGGAUGAUACAGAUUGACAAUCCAGAAAAUAUGUGAAACGCAAGAAGAUAUUACUCAUCGCCCAGCGGUGAAUUAUGACCACAUAGGAUGAUACAGAUUGACAAUCCAACAUUUCAGAAGACUUUUUGUUGCUUUCAGACUUCUCUGUGGUGGCUAAUGCUCCAAAGACAGAGCUUGGUGAAGGAGGAUUUGAUAGUCAAACGGUUGGAUCUGCUGUGUAUGUAGCCGACAACAUAAGGAUGGGUGUCACCCCCCAGGGAGACCCCUUUGUUAAUUCCCCCCACGGCCUGGCCAAUAUGAAAGGGGAACUGUUUAGGAAGCGAUGGUUUUGUCCAGAUUGUGGGCGAGUGUUUCUUGAGAAAAAGACCAUGAUGGUCCACAUAGAUGCUAUCCAUAACAAUGUGACACUGCCUUGUGUGUGUGGGAAGACAUACAAGUACCCAUUUGCUCUCAGGAGACAUAAGAAAACAUGUCAACUGAGUUUACAGAUAUUGGAGGACAGAGUAUAAGCCAGGCAGAGUAUUCAGUAGGUCUGCUCAGAGAGAGAAUCUGGAAGCCGGGUGGAUUUCUUGGACAUUCGUCAACUCCUGUUGUUGGUGAAGGCCUCGCUAUGCGUGUUAAUCCAUUUGAUAGUUCAUCAUCUGCUGUUGUUGCCGAAGGCCUUGCUAUGCGUGUUAAUGCCUUUGAUGGUUCAUUCCUUGGCAAAGAUGGCGAUUUGUCGAGUCAGGUGAAGGCAAUCCGAAAUUCCACCUGUGAUGAAUGUGGCAAGAUUUUUGCAGAUUCCAAAUCAAAGUCAAACCACAAACGGGCAGUGCAUGAUAAGCGACCAUUUUCUUGUGUCUGCGGCAAGGAGUAUAAGUACAUGACAGGACUAAGGAUGCAUAAGAAGAAAUGUGCUUGUGCUAAGAUGAUGAGAGAUGACAAUGACUGAGCAGCUGCAAGAGUGAGGAUCGUUACCUUCUUUUGAUAAUGUCGCUUCUUGGGAGAUGACAGUAAUCCUGUUGUCUAGGGUUUAGUGCACUGCAAGAGUGAGGAUCGUUACCUUCUUUUGAUAAUGUCGCUUCUUUGGAGAUGACAGUAAUCCUGAUGUCUAGGGUUUAGUGCACUGCAAGAGUGAGGAUCAUUACUUCAAAUUGAAAAUAUCGCUUCUUUAGAGAUGACAGUAAUCCUGUUGUCUAGGGUUUAGUGCACUGGAUGAGUGAGGAACGUUACUUCAAAUUGAAAAUAUCGCUUCUUCAGAGAUGACAGUAAUCUUGUUGUCUAGGGUUUAGUGCACUGGAUGAGGGAGGAACGUUACUUCAAAUUGAAAAUAUCGCUUCUUCAGAGACGACAGUAAUCUUGUUGUCUUGGGUUUAGAUGGACUGCCUGUAUUCUUUUCAAUGUACUUUGAAAAUUAUCUGACCUUGUUCAUGUAUGCUUUUGGAAUUCUUCAGUACUUUUCUUGGGAUUUUUAUGGGUAUUUAAAAGCAAAUCUGUCCUGAAACUGUUUUGACUUUUUGUGUGGCAAGUUUUCCGAUGAAGUUACUUCCGAUGUCAGGCUUGGAGAAUUGUAGAUUGUUGUUGGAACAGAACCAGCAAGCCUUCAUGCCAUGUGUAUUUGGAUGGAUGAUCGGUACUUGGUAGCAUAUGUACUGCAGUAAUUUAAUGAUGACUUUUGUGUUGCAUUGGAUGAUACUGUUGUAUUCGAGAGAUGAAAAAAUCCAAAACAUUUUAUGCAAGGUCUAAGACUCAGGAGACUUUGGUGACAAUUGCCAUACAGCGUCUGAAGAUACAAAAUACCAAGGGUGUCAUUUGUACUGGGAUGCCAUUCUCUUUGAUGGCAUUUGUAUCAAACGAUAAGAAGAUCUUAAGAAGCCAGACAGUUCAGUGACUUGUUUUGAGGUCUGAAGGCACGACACUGACGUGCCAGUGUAUUGAGAUCUAAAGAUGUCUUUUGUACAAGAGAGACGAUGAUGACUGCUGCACCUCAUGUCCUUUGUGUAAGAUUAUUUUUCCUGUUACAUCGUGAAAGCCAGCAUGAUAUCUAAUGCACUCUCCUUUGAAGAAACUAGAGAAUCUUCUUCGUGUG
rnacentral:misc_RNA from 1 species